AAAAGUCUUCCCCUGCCACAUCACCUCCUCCUCCUCCGGUUUCCCUUUGCUCGCUCGGUUGUUUCGCUCCCUUGACGAGAGCAUCGCGCACGAUGGA
rnacentral:ribozyme from 1 species